rnacentral:rRNA from 1 species
GCUGUGGAUUGUCCUUUGGACAAUGGUAGGAGAGCGUUCUAAGGGCGUUGAAGCAUGAUCGUAAGGACAUGUGGAGCGCUUAGAAGUGAGAAUGCCGGUGUGAGUAGCGAAAGACGGGUGAGAAUCCCGUCCACCGAUUGACUAAGGUUUCCAGAGGAAGGCUCGUCCGCUCUGGGUUAGUCGGGUCCUAAGCUGAGGCCGACAGGCGUAGGCGAUGGAUAACAGGUUGAUAUUCCUGUACCACCUAUAAUCGUUUUAAUCGAUGGGGGGACGCAGUAGGAUAGGCGAAGCGUGCGAUUGGAUUGCACGUCUAAGCAGUAAGGCUGAGUAUUAGGCAAAUCCGGUACUCGUUAAGGCUGA